GCAUCCUACAGACACACAAACACACACAGGCUGGGGUUCAUUACAUGUGUCACGCAUCCUACAGACACACAAACACACACAGGCUGGGUUCAUUACGUCUGUGACACAUCACACAGACACACACACAGGCUGGGUUCAUGACGUGUGUAACACAUCACACACACACACACACACAGGCUGGGGUUCAUGACGUGUGUAACACAUCACACAGACACACACACAGGCUGGGUUCAUUACGUCUGUAACACAUCCCACAGACACACACACAGGCUUCGCUGUUGUGUCGUUGUGCGUGCAAACGGCUUCCCUCGAAGCGAUCCACACAUGAUGAGCUUUCAGUUCAAUUCAAUUCAGUUGAUUUGUGCAGCCCUUCAUCACAGGUCCAGUCUUAAAGGGCUGAACAGGCCGUGUGUUUACCCCCCUGACCCUAGCCCCCCAGAGGGCAAGAGAAAACUCCAUUAAUUAGCAAGGAAGAGAUCUUGAUUAGGAACGCAGAGUGGGGGAUCCCUCCUUCAGAAGUGGGGGAUCCCUCCUUCAGAGUGGGGGAUCCCUCCUUCAGAGAGGGGGAUCCCUCCUUCAGAGUGGGGGGAUCCCUCCUUCAGAGUGGGGGGUCCCUCCUUCCAAAUGGGGAUCCCUCCUUCCAGGGAUGAUUAGGAGUGCAAUGGGUGCCAUGAUUGGCAUUCAUACAUACAUACAUACACAUACAUACAUACAUACAUACAUACAUACAUACAUAGACACCUUGACACCGCACUUGAAGUUCAAACUCUUUCGACUUUGACCCCGGCUGGACGCUGACCUCGUCCAAUCAGGACAAAGCUUUGCUUGACUUUCUCCAUCCAACAGUGUGUAAACACGGAUGGUUUGGUCAACUUUGAGUUAAGCUCUUUACAAUAUUGCCUAACACCAUUCGUUCACACAUUCACACACCGACGGCGGAGUCAGCCAUGCAAGGCCAGCUCAUCAGGGGCAGUCAGGUUUGAAUCUAAACUCAUAUUUUGAGUUUAGCGCUAAGCUUGAGAUUCUUCAACUUUGGCUUCACUACGGUCCCCAAACCUGGCGGGGUACGCUCUGCUGAAAACUCAUCGUGUGUCAACUGCUCGACACCCCCAGUUGUGUUCUCCCUGUGCUGCACUGUGUUUGUGUGUGUGUUUCUGUGUGUGUGUCUGUUAAUGUGUGUUCUCUCUCUCAUUCCCCCACCCUGUCGCUCUCAUCCCCUCCUUUCCCACUGUACUCCGUCCUCUUUCCUUCCUACUCGUUUCUCUUCCUGCAUUGGGCUGAGCUUUCUCUGUCUCCCCCCUCUCAUCUCUCUCUGUGUCUCCCCCUCUCACCCCCCCUCCUCCAUUGGUGUUAUAAGCGGCCGCCCUCAAACUCUUUCCCGUAUGAGGAACCGACUGAAGGACCGAGACAAAGUCAAGUCUCUGCUGCGCCGCUCCAUGUCCCUGGAUGGCCUGGCCGGCCCCACAGGAGGGCCCGGGGAGGAGGGCAGCUGGGGGGGCUCCCUGGAGCUGUUUGAGGGGCCCCAGGCUGAGGAGGAGGAGGAGGAAGAGGAAGAGGAGGAGCAGGAGGAGGAGGAGCAGGAGGAGGGCAAGAUGGACCUCUUGACCUCAUCCCUCUCCUCCUCCGUCAUGUCCAUGCUUCAUCACUCUCAUUACACCGUCACCACCACCCCCCCGCCUCCACCAGGUCAUCUCCACCCAGCCGACACGGCUGUCCCAGAUAUCUCUAAACUUUGGCUCACAGAUAAAGAUUCGGUCGAUAGCGCGUCUGGUUUUGAAGACCACGAAGACCUGCAGCACGGUAAAGCCCUCUGGAGUUUGUCCAUUUUGCAUGCAGAUGGAUUCCGGGAAUUGGGAGUAAAUCCAUCAAAUCCUGAACAUGGCCUUGAUUUAAAAUCGUCAAUGCUCGUUGCUCAAAGCCGACGUAAACGGCUGAGAAACAUUAGACUCUGCUGCCCUCUGGUGGUGGCAAGAAAAGUGAGACUCUACUGCCCUCUGUUGGUAGCUUGACAAAUUGAGACGAUGCUGGUUUAGCAGAAGUGCGGAGUCAUACUGCAAACCCAAACCAGCUGCAGAGAGUCCCAUUAGUACCCCUCCUGUUAGGUUCGUCUUGAACAACCAAAAUGUUCCCGAGUCAAUAUCAAAAAAUGGUCAGAAACCAAAAAAUUCCCCAAUACAAAUGUUGUACCUCAUUACUAUCACCAUGACUAACAAUUAAAUCAAUAUUUAAUGCAAUAGGGUUAUUAACCUCUCACAGAUCAUUGUUCAAUAAGGGUAAUACGCUCGUUUUUAUCAGAAAAACAUGUCAACACUUUUUUUUAUGUUCUUUGGAAACACUUUGAUAUAAAUACAUUCAGUUCACACAUCAUUCGUUUUUUAUGUGUUUCCAACUUCAACAAUUAUUUUUCUUACGGAAUGAGGUUGAUCUUUAAAACCGAGACGCCCGUCAGGUUCAGGGUCAGGUCGACCGCUGCGCUCAGACCAGUCCGAGGGCUUCGAUGGCUCUGACGACCCCCAGCCUCCUCCUGUCUGUGUCUCAUGACGUGUCGCGGUUGUCAGUGAGCAUGCUGCCCCUCCUCACAUCCUGUCCUCCCUCCUGAUUGGUUCCCCAGGGCCGACCGCGCCCCCCAGCCGCGCCCACAGCGAGAGCAGCGGCGAGUUCAGCAUGAGCCUGGACAACGAGCCCUGGUCCAACGGCAGCAGCCCGCUGCAGCCGGCGCCGCCCUGCCGCUCGCCCGGCUGCUCGCCCGGCGCCCACCCGCCCCCCAACGACACCCCCAGCCCCCGCCACGCCCACCCCCACUCCCCCGCCGUCGCCGUGGCCAACGGCUCGGUGCUCCUCCACGCUGCACCCCGGGACCCCGGCGCAGGGCAGCCCCCCACGGUGCAGCUCAGAGCCCCCCGGACCUCUGGCCCAUGCGGACCACCAAGACCAUCAGGAGGGGCUCCAAGGCCAAGGCCGCCGCCCGCCGCGCCUCCGACUCAGGGGGCUCCUUCAAACUCACCAAGGUCCUCAACGGGCUGGGCUCCAGGGCCAGCCCGGCCAAGGCGGAGCCCGCCGCCGCCGCCAUCGCCCCCGCCAGCGCCGCCGCCGCCGCCGCCCACUCGGCGGCGGCCUGCUCCCCCAUCACGGUGCUCUACGUCCAGGGGAAGUCCUCCUCCGUGUCGGGCUGCCUCAACUGCUUCUCCACGCCGCUGGGGCGGGAGGGCCGUCUGCGGGGGUUCCGCUGCCCCAAGGUCCUCCCGCGGGCCAGCAGCGUCAUCUCCACCGCCGAGGGGUCGUCACGGCGACCCAGCGUCCACAGCGCCUGCAGGGCGGCGCUCCGGGCGGCGCCGGAGCCGGCGGCCGCCGAGAGGGAAGCCGCGGAACUCCCCCCGGGAACGCCGCCCGACCGGAGCCGAGAACCG
ensembl:lncRNA